GAUGAACGCUAGCGGGAGGCUUAACACAUGCAAGUCGAGGGGCAUCACGAGGUAGCAAUACUUUGGUGGCGACCGGCGCACGGGUGAGUAACACGUAUGCAACCUACCCUGUACAGGGGGAUAACCCGGAGAAAUUCGGACUAAUAUUCCAUAAUGAUAUUAGAGGGCAUCCUUUAGUAUUUAAAGCUUCGGCGGUACAGGAUGGGCAUGCGCAACAUUAGCUAGUUGGGAGGGUAACGGCCUACCAAGGCAAUGAUGUUUAGGGGACCUGAGAGGGUGAUCCCCCACACUGGUACUGAGACACGGACCAGACUCCUACGGGAGGCAGCAGUGAGGAAUAUUGGUCAAUGGGCGGAAGCCUGAACCAGCCAUCCCGCGUGCAGGAAGACGGCCCUAUGGGUUGUAAACUGCUUUUUCAGUGGGCGAAACCCUCGUACGCGUACGGGAUUGACGGUACACUGGGAAUAAGCAUCGGCUAACUCCGUG
rnacentral:rRNA from 1 species